rnacentral:rRNA from 1 species
AGAGUUUGAUCCUGGCUCAGAACGAACGCUGGCGGCAGGCCUAACACAUGCAAGUCGAGCGCCCCCGCAAGGGGGAGCGGCGGACGGGUGAGUAACGCGUGGGAAUUUUCCUCAAGGUACGGAACAACUCAGGGAAACUUGGGCUAAUACCGUAUGAUGUCUAGCGACCAAAGAUUUAUCGCCUUGGGAUAAGCCCGCGUCAGAUUAGGUAGUUGGUGGGGUAACGGCCUACCAAGCCUGCGAUCUGUAGCUGGUCUGAGAGGACGAUCAGCCACACUGGGACUGAGACACGGCCCAGACUCCUACGGGAGGCAGCAGUGGGGAAUCUUGCGCAAUGGGCGAAAGCCUGACGCAGCCAUGCCGCGUGAAUGAUGAAGGUCUUAGGAUUGUAAAGUUCUUUCGCUCGUGACGAUGAUGACGGUAACGAGAGAAGAAGCCCCGGCUAACUUCGUGCCAGCAGCCGCGGUAAUACGAAGGGGGCUAGCGUUGUUCGGAAUUACUGGGCGUAAAGCGCGCGUAGGCGGUUUUGCAAGCCAGAGGUGAAAUGCCUGAGCUCAACUUAGGAAUUGCCUUUGGGACUGCGAGGCUUUGAGGACUGGAGAGGUGAGUGGAAUUCCCAGUGUAGAGGUGAAAUUCGUAGAUAUUGGGAAGAACACCAGUGGCGAAGGCGGCUCACUGGCCAGUUUCUGACGCUGCAGCGCGAAAGCGUGGGGAUCAAACAGGAUUAGAUACCCUGGUAGUCC